rnacentral:rRNA from 1 species
UACGGGGGGGGCAAGCGUUGUUCGGAAUUACUGGGCGUAAAGGGCUCGUAGGCGGCCAACUAAGUCAGACGUGAAAUCCCUCGGCUUAACCGGGGAACUGCGUCUGAUACUGGAUGGCUAGAGUUUGGGAGAGGGAUGCGGAAUUCCAGGUGUAGCGGUGAGAUGCGUAGAUAUCUGGAGGAACACCGGUGGCGAAGGCGGCAUCCUGGACCAACACUGACGCUGAGGAGCGAAAGCCAGGGGAGCAAACGGG